ACCGCGACAGCUCAGCUGGUAGAGCGUCUGCCCGGUUUGCGGAGGGUCACCGGUUCGACUCCGGCUCGCGGCG
rnacentral:tRNA from 1 species